rnacentral:misc_RNA from 1 species
AAGCUUUCGCCCCUUGGACGGUGGUGGACUCCUGCUACCAUAAGGGGAGGGGCUGCGCUUUAUUACCUUUGAUGGUGGGGGGCUCCUGCUACCGCUAGGAGUGAGGCUACGCUUUGGUACCUUAGACAGAGGCGGGCUCUUGUUGUAUCUUGGACUUCUUAAUCUGUCAUCACGCUCUACUGUACGCCCACCCCUCCUAGGAGGAGUUCUGGAUCGAAUGGUAAAUAUUAG